GCCAGCUACGAGGGAGGGGGUGCGGGGAGAGGGAGGGUGCGGGGGUGGUCCGGAAUUUGGGGGCUGAGAGGGCUCGUAGGCGGUUGUUCACGGCGGGAGUGAAAACUCGGGGCUCAACCCCGAGCUUGCUUCCGAUACGGGCUAACUAGAGGUAUGCAGGGGAGAACGGAAUUCCUGGUGUAGCGGUGAAAUGCGCAGAUAUCAGGAGGAACACCGGUGGCGAAGGCGGUUCUCUGGGCAUUACCUGACGCUGAGGAGCGAAAGUGUGGGGAGCGAACAGGAUUAGAUACCCUUGUAGUC
rnacentral:rRNA from 1 species